CACACGGGCUUGCAGCACACAGGGGUGCAGCAGGCGGGCCUGCACACGGGGCGGCAGAGCAGGGACACGCAGGAGGAGGGUCUGCAGCAGGGGCUGGGCUGGCAGCAGGAAGAGGUUGUGCAGGGGGAGUCCUCACAGCACACAGGGGUGCAGCAGACGGGCUUGCAGCACACAGGGGUGCAGCAGACGG